AAUAGAUACCCUGGUAGUCCACGCCGUAAACGAUGUCGACUUGGAGGUUGUUCCCUUGAGGAGUGGCUUCCGGAGCUAACGCGUUAAGUCGACCGCCUGGGGAGUACGGCCGCAAGGUUAAAACUCAAAUGAAUUGACGGGGGCCCGCACAAGCGGUGGAGCAUGUGGUUUAAUUCGAUGCAACGCGAAGAACCUUACCUACUCUUGACAUCCAGAGAACUUAGCAGAGAUGCUUUGGUGCCUUCGGGAACUCUGAGACAGGUGCUGCAUGGCUGUCGUCAGCUCGUGUUGUGAAAUGUUGGGUUAAGUCCCGCAACGAGCGCAACCCUUAUCCUUUGUUGCCAGCGGUUCGGCCGGGAACUCAAAGGAGACUGCCAGUGAUAAACUGGAGGAAGGUGGGGAUGACGUCAAGUCAUCAUGGCCCUUACGAGUAGGGCUACACACGUGCUACAAUGGCGUAUACAAAGAGAAGCGACCUCGCGAGAGCAAGCGGACCUCAUAAAGUACGUCGUAGUCCGGAUUGGAGUCUGCAACUCG
rnacentral:rRNA from 1 species